UGUGCCGGCGUGUAGUAGUGCUACUGUGUGCGUCGUCAGUACAUAACUUUUGGAAGCUAAGCCUUGUUAUGGUCGUGUUAUUUACUUUAUAAUUAUAUCUUAUUUAUUUCCUAACCAUAAAAUCUGCUUACACGUGAAAUAGGCAUUUAAAAACAAG